AACGUAGGUGGCAAGCGUUAUCCGGAUUUACUGGGCGUAAAGGGUGUGCAGGCGGGGUUGCAAGUGGUGUAUGAAAUCUCCCGGCUUAACCGGGAGGGGUUAUGCCAGACUGCAAUUCUAGAGGACGAGAGAGGGGGGUGGAAUUCCGGGUGUAGUGGUGAAAUGCGUAGAGAUCCGGAGGAACCCCAGAGGCGAAGGCGGCCCCCUGGCUCGUACCUGACGCUCAGCCACGAAAGCGUGGGUAGCAAACAGG
rnacentral:rRNA from 1 species